GACGAACCGUGCGAACGUUGUUCGGAUUCACUGGGCUUAAAGGGCGCGUAGGCGGACGGUCAAGUCAGGGGUGAAAUCUUUCAGCUCAACUGGAAAAGUGCCUCUGAUACUGAUCGUCUCGAGGGAGGUAGGGGCAUGUGGAACUUCCGGUGGAGCGGUGAAAUGCGUAGAUAUCGGAAGGAACGCCGGUGGCGAAAGCGACGUGCUGGACCUCUUCUGACGCUGAGGCGCGAAAGCCAGGGGAGCGAAC
rnacentral:rRNA from 1 species